rnacentral:sRNA from 12 species
UGACCACUUCGAUUUCUUAUGAAGUUAAGACCCAGACGGACAGGCGGGUCAGCUGCCGA